GGCCGUUUAGCUCAGUUGGUUAGAGCGUACGCUUCACAGUCACAAAACACCAACUUCGAUCCACUUCUUCACGAGUGGGACGGAGGUCCUGGGAAGCGCGUAAGGUCGGCGGUUCGACCCCGCCAAUGGUCA